UUGGCGGCGGCCGGCCACAACCAGAAAGGGGCAGCCUCGGCGGAAGAGCGGACUGUGUCAACAAAGUGCCGUUCCUGAAAGUAAUGAUGGUGGUUAAUGCGGUGUGUCCGGAGGGCCGACUGUCUGAACAAAGUGACGUUCGUAAUGGAAUGAUGUUAGUUGUUGGGGGUGGAGGCGGAGAGAAGAGAUUCCGCUGGAGUCAAUCCCAUUUCGCAACGUUGGAAUGAUGCUGCCAGACCUGAAGAGUUUCAACAACAGUUUCUAUGCUGUCUUUCAGAUUUCCAGUAUCUGUAGUUCCAAAUGGACCUGAUAUGGAGCCAUUCAAGGUUAUAUUGUGUCAAGUGACAGUCCACCUCACUUAUAGCGGCAGACAUGAAGAAUAUGAACGUAUCGGAUUGGAGACCAUAUCCUCUCGCAGAAAGAGUAAAAGGUAGACAGCAUUCCC